rnacentral:rRNA from 1 species
CUUGCUUCUCUUGAGAGCGGCGGACGGGUGAGUAAUGCCUAGGAAUCUGCCUGGUAGUGGGGGAUAACGUUCGGAAACGGACGCUAAUACCGCAUACGUCCUACGGGAGAAAGCAGGGGACCUUCGGGCCUUGCGCUAUCAGAUGAGCCUAGGUCGGAUUAGCUAGUUGGUGGGGUAAUGGCUCACCAAGGCGACGAUCCGUAACUGGUCUGAGAGGAUGAUCAGUCACACUGGAACUGAGACACGGUCCAGACUCCUACGGGAGGCAGCAGUGGGGAAUAUUGGACAAGAGGGGAGGGCGUGAUCCAGGGGAUAAAAAAGUGUGUGAAGAAGGUCUUCGGAUUGUAAAGCACUUUAAGUUGGGAGGAAGGGUUGUAGAUUAAUACUCUGCAAUUUUGACGUUGCGGACAGAAUAAGCACCGGCUAACUCUGUGCCAGCAGCCGCGGUAAUACAGAGGGUGCAAGCGUUAAUCGGAAUUACUGGGCGUAAAGCGCGCGUAGGUGGUUUGUUAAGUUGGAUGUGAAAUCCCCGGGCUCAACCUGGGAACUGCAUUCAAAACUGACUGACUAGAGUAUGGUAGAGGGUGGUGGAAUUUCCUGUGUAGCGGUGAAAUGCGUAGAUAUAGGAAGGAACACCAGUGGCGAAAGCGACCACCUGGACUAAUACUGACACUGAGUGCGAAAGCGUGGGGAGCAAACAGAUUAGAUACCCUGGUAGUCCACGCCGUAACGAUGUCAACUAGCCGUUGGAAGCCUUGAGCUUUUAGUGGCGCAGCUAACGCAUUAAGUUGACCGCCUGGGGAGUACGGCCGCAAGGUUAAAACUC